UGACAAAAAUAAACGGAAACAUCGAAGGAAAGCUACCACUCCGCAAUGCAAGCGCAAGGCAAGCUCACAGUCCAGACCGAACAGGCAACACUGACACAUACUCUCCACGCCAGACCGUCGGAAGCGCCCUCGUGAAAACGUUUAUAUAGACCGUUUUUUCGUGGGCGCCACCAUAUUGUGAACGCAGUGGCGCCGCCUAUGAGCAGGCGCCAUGCUGGCUUGCGUGAAAGCGUUGUUUUGCAUGGCAGGUAUACGUGCUGAUACAGUUGCGAGCGUUUUUUUCCGUAUUGGCGGGCUGUAUUUCGCAUGACUUGCUAUGUUCUACAUCGGAAGUGAAUCUGUGAGAUGUGCUGAGUUGAUUUAAGCAGAUGUGGCCGGAGUUUCUGCUGCCGGUGAGGCAGACGUGCACCCGAUCUGAUAUGCGCGCCGGUGUUGGAGCCUACAAUCAGCCUCGGAAAUGACAAGUGUUACCAGCACCCAAGUGUGAUUGUCAGCUGGUGUGAUGAUUUGAAGAAGUGGCCGCAGGUACAAAUGCCACACAUAAUUCACUACCUGCUCACAAACAAGGCAUGUGACUUGCGAGAAGUCAAUUCGUUCAGGAGUAUGAAGUCUUACACUUAUCUACAAAGUGGAUGGGUAGGGAGAGUGCUCCUGCAUGAGAUUGAUGACACGGUUGUGCUCCUGAAGUGUCAAGUGCAGGCGUCACAAUCAAUUAAAACACACCACAAUGCAUGGGUGUGCUGCCAGCGUAGUGGAGAAGUCAAGAACAGUGGAUGUACGUGCAUGGCUGGGAGAGGAAAAGUGUGCAGUCAUAUCGGUGCACUUCUUUGGAAAUUGGACUUGGCGAUGUCACAAAGCAUGACAGGAGAAGGUUGCACUGACAAAUCAGCAACCUGGAACAGUGGAACAAAGAGGAACCUUGAACCAGCCGCUCUGACAGACAUAAACUUCAAGGUACAGAUGAGAACCAUUCAUAAAAAAAACGAUUCCAUCUUUGCCACAACUCCUCGGCAAUGAUACUGACAUCCAGGAGUUCUACAGAAACUGUCCAUUCCAAGAAAUUGUCAAUGUUACUGGUACCCUGCUUCAUGCGACUGUGACAGCUCCAUUUCGACGACUUCAGCCACAGCAAACCACGCCUGACAUCCAGCACAGCCCUCACGACAGUGUUGAUACC